GACGAACGCUGGCGGCGUGCCUAAUACAUGCAAGUCGAGCGGACCACUUCGGUGGUCAGCGGCGGACGGGUGAGUAACACGUGGGCAACCUGCCUGUAAGACUGGGAUAACACCGGGAAACCGGUGCUAAUACCGGAUAAUCCUUUCCUUCACAUGAAGGGAAGCUGAAAGACGGUUUCGGCUGUCACUUACAGAUGGGCCCGCGGCGCAUUAGCUAGUUGGUGAGGUAACGGCUCACCAAGGCAACGAUGCGUAGCCGACCUGAGAGGGUGGUCGGACACACUGGGGCUGAGCCACGGCCCAGACUCCUACGGGAGGCAGCAGUAGGGAAUCUUCCGCAAUGGACGAAAGUCUGACGGAGCAACGCCGCGUGAGCGAUGAAGGCCUUCGGGUCGUAAAGCUCUGUUGUCAGGGAAGAACAAGUACCGGAGUAACUGCCGGUACCUUGACGGUACCCGACCAGAAAGCCACGGCUAACUGCGUGCCAGCAGCCGCCGUAAAAC
rnacentral:rRNA from 1 species